UCCCCCCUAACAGUCACCUGGUUGUUUCCAUCAACAGGAUUUCACUGAAUACUGGAGGCUCCUUGGGACGAGAGGCGGAAGAGGACCCAGCAAAAGAGGGCGAGGCCGAAGGAAGAAAGCCAGAAGAGACCCGGAUCUGUCACGCUGAGCUUAGACGAUGCUUGGAAACACGCAGUUCAAAUGGAAUACGUGAUCCUGUCCUAAGGGGAGAAGCAAGCGAGCAAGCAAACAGACUCGAACGUACAAUGGGAAAACAUCGAUGAUAAUUACGGCAUUUAUUAAGCGCUCACUAGGCGUGUAGGUGCAAGACUUUGAGGGCAACGCGGUUCCCAUUUCCCAGAAGGCCAACGAUCUCUCCGAGGCCGAGGGAGGUUGAGCGACUUGCCCAAGGUCGCGCAGCCGGCCGUGGGCAGGACCGGGGCUCAGACACGUGACUCCUUCCAGUCCCGUGUUCUUUCCUUUAGAGCACACUGCCUCCCGCACUGGGAGGGACGUGAGAGAUAAUGGGAUACCACCGGGAACGAUGAAAGUAAGUGAAAAAAGAAUAAACGAAAGGAAUGGACAA